rnacentral:misc_RNA from 1 species
GAUGAAGAACGUAGCGAAAUGCGAUAAGUAAUGUGAAUUGCAGAAUUCAGUGAAUCAUCGAAUCUUUGAACGCACAUUGCGCCCGCCAGUAUUCUGGCGGGCAUGCCUGUCUGAGCGUCAUUUCAACCCUCAUGCCCCUAGGGCGUGGUGUUGGGGAUCGGCCAAAGCCCGCGAGGGACGGCCGGCCCCUAAAUCUAGUGGCGGACCCGUCGUGGCCUCCUCUGCGAAGUAGUGAUAUUCCGCAUCGGAGAGCGAUGAGCUCCUGCCGUUAAACCCCCAACUUUCCAAGGUUGACCUCAGAUCAGGUAGGAAUACCCGCUGAACUUAAGCAUAUCAAUAAGCGGAGGA